GGACGACGGACUGGGAAGGAAAUCAUUUCCCGUAGACGACGUACAAGGAGGGAGCUGCCAUGCAAGGCCCUAACCACGAUCCAUCAGCAAGGGUGAAGUGUCUUGUCCAAGGACACAACGGGCGUGACCAGGAUAACGGAAACCGAGGAUCGAACCAGGAACCCUUAAGUUGCUGGCACGGCCGCUCUACCAACCGAGCCACAUGUAUCAACUAUACAUUUUCACAUAUUUUAAAGCCUCGUCCUCCAGUGAUUGUAUUACCCAUUUAUCAUCAUUAUAUUGAUGAUUAAAGAAAAGCAGUUUAUUUGACAUAUAGUUUAGAGGAGCUGCUCCACACUGUGUAUGGAGACACAUAAUUAGCUUCUAGUUGCUUGUCAGCCGGAGUUUGUGUUUGUGAUCGGCAAUAAAAUGCAUUAUUCGGCAAAGGCCCUUUUACGAAAAUUGGCCCAUACUGAUUGGUGGAGACACCGAAGGGCACAUCACUACAUAACACAAACCAACAUAAGACAUCACAGUAUAGCAUAACAAUGACACGGUACAACACAACUCAGGAUACAUACCAAAUGUGGUACUUUUGUUGGCACUGACUUAAAUCUAUAUGUACUACGGGGUACUGACUCCCAUAAAAUCACAUAGUACCAUAUUUUGAUACUUUUGUUGCACGUGACAUCACAUCUAAUUGCAGACUCAGCACCGGCUCAAGCAUUUGGAGAAA